rnacentral:rRNA from 1 species
UAGGGAAUCUUCCACAAUGGACGAAAGUCUGAUGGAGCAACACCGCGUGAGUGAAGAAGGGUUUCGGCUCGUAAAACUCUGUUGUUAAAGAAGAACAUAUCUGAGAGUAACUGUUCAGGUAUUGACGGUAUUUAACCAGAAAGCCACGGCUAACUACGUGCCAG